rnacentral:hammerhead_ribozyme from 1 species
AUCCCGCUGACGUUUCCCAAAUAGGACGAAACGUGCGUCAAACUGGAU